CCUACGGGCGGCAGCAGUGGGGAAUAUUGGACAAUGGGGGGAACCCUGAUCCAGCCAUGCCGCGUGUGUGAAGAAGGCCCUCGGGUUGUAAAGCACUUUCAGUGAGGAAGAACGCCUGGUGGUUAAUACCCAUCAGGAAAGACAUCACUCACAGAAGAAGCACCGGCUAACUCCGUGCCAGCAGCCGCGGUAAUACGGAGGGUGCGAGCGUUAAUCGGAAUUACUGGGCGUAAAGCGCGCGUAGGUGGCUUGAUAAGCCGGUUGUGAAAGCCCCGGGCUCAACCUGGGAACAGCAUCCGGAACUGUCAAGCUAGAGUGCAGGAGAGGAAGGUAGAAUUCCCGGUGUAGCGGUGAAAUGCGUAGAGAUCGGGAGGAAUACCAGUGGCGAAGGCGGCCUUCUGGACUGACACUGACACUGAGGUGCGAAAGCGUGGGUAGCAAACAGGAUUAGAUACCCCGGUAGUC
rnacentral:rRNA from 1 species